UUUUUUUUAAUAUUCUUUACUUUAAACUAAAUAAAGUAAAAAAUUUAUGUUUUCUGUUAAUUUAAUAUUUGAAUAAAUGAUUACUAAUAAAUAACAAUUUUGCUUAUAAUGUAUGAGUAUAAUAUUUUGGGUUAAGUAAGGCAUUGGCGUUUAUUGUGCACCCCAUCGUUUCUUUUUUAAUGUUCUUUACUUUAAACUAAUUAAACAAGUUGUAUUUUAAUUGAAUAUUUGAAUAAAUAAUUACUAAUAAUUAUUAUAUUUUGUUUAAAAUGUAUGAGUAUAAUAAUUUGGGGUAAGAAAAGCACGGUUCUUUAUUUUGCGACCAUCAUUUCUUUUUUAAUAUUCAGGCACUGUCGUUUAUUUUGCGCCCCAUCGUUUCUUUUUUAAUAUUCAU
rnacentral:lncRNA from 1 species